GCAUUGAAGGAAGGUGACUUGUUAAUGAAUUUGGGAAAACUGAAGGAAGCAUUGCCCUACUAUGACAAGGUCAUGGAUAACUUACCGUUCCAGAGUGAGCUCCAUGGUUUAGCUGCUUUGCAGUGGUCAAUUUGUCAAGACUCUCUUAAUAGGUUUUAGAUUUUCUUCAAUUCUUG